CCUACGGGAGGCAGCAGUGAGGAAUAUUGGUCAAUGGGCGGGAGCCUGAACCAGCCAAGCCGCGUGAGGGAAGAAGGUACAGCGUAUCGUAAACCUCUUUUGUCAGGGAACAAAGGCGGGGACUAGUCCCCGGAUGAGGGUACCUGAAGAAAAAGCAUCGGCUAACUCCGUGCCAGCAGCCGCGGUAAUACGUAGGUGGCAAGCGUUGUCCGGAUUUACUGGGUGUAAAGGGCGUGCAGCCGGAGAGACAAGUCAGAUGUGAAAUCCACGGGCUCAACCCGUGAACUGCAUUUGAAACUGUUUCCCUUGAGUGUCGGAGAGGUAAUCGGAAUUCCUAGUGUAGCGGUGAAAUGCGUAGAUAUUAGGAAGAACACCAGUGGCGAAGGCGGAUUACUGGACGAUAACUGACGGUGAGGCGCGAAAGCGUGGGGAGCAAACAGGAUUAGAUACCCCUGUAGU
rnacentral:rRNA from 1 species